rnacentral:lncRNA from 1 species
CGGAGUGGUGUUGGGAUUGAGUACGGGAUACAUAGUAUUCACAACUGGAAGACCGUGGUGGUUGGUUAGAAUGGUUGAGAGAGACUGGCAGAGGAAUUUUACAAGAUGGGCCCGCAGGAUUGGAAGAAAAAGAAACUAGCACUUCAUCCAAAUUGCAUAGGUGAGAUUCAAAUAUGUUUUGCUUAAACUUGGACCAAAAAUUGUAUUUACUUUUUAAUUGAUAAUGCAUAUAUAGUAAUUUAGACUUAACUUUUCCAUUCUAUUUGCCAUAGUUGGACCUGAGGUGAAUUGGAGGGAAAAUGAAGAACUGCUUCUGUAAGAUUUGGGUCGAAGCCUCUGUUCUUACCUUUUGGGUUCAUUUUCAAGGCAGUGGCUCAAUGAUAAGAUGAAGCUGUUGUUUGAGGAUAGCUUGCUCUUUCUUGGCUUAUUAUUCAACUUCGAUAAUAUGGGUGUUUUUAUUUGUAAAUUUACAUUUAUGGAUUUAUGUUCUACUUUUGUAAGAAUAUGUACUGUUUUAAUUCCUGUUUUCAGGUAUGUUUUAUCCUUAAUGUGUUUGAAUACAACUUUUCUUGAAUAUUCAAAGAAAACUUAGUAGUUUUGGUCAUCUUUGUUUGAAUUGUUUAUACUUUGCCAAUUCUUGCUUUGUUUCUGUUGUCAGGAUUGUUAAGAUUUAUUUUUGGAUAUUAACAAGAUUUAUUUGCUGUUUUUUUUUUAUAUUAGACAAUGGUUAAAAUUUGAUUUUGAUAUCUAUACUAUGCUCAAAUUAUGAUUUGAUAUCCUUAUAUAUUAAUUUAUGUUGCUUAGAAAUUGAUCAUUGUGACUUAAUGAGUGAAUGUAGGUUUCGUGGGUUCCAGACGUGUGAUUUGUCAAAUUAGCAAUCAAGUGUGUGAAACUAACCCGAAACCUUGCUCGAAACUUGAGAAAAUUAUGAACUAGGGAUUGUUUUCGAAAUUACCUAACCAAUAUAAUGCUCAAAUCCUCACUUCUGUGCUUGUUUAACAGCCUAAAUUAUAUCGCUAAUAGAUAAAAAAAAAUCAACUCUCAUUAUAUCGCUAAGAUCACUCUUAACCUUAAUGACAAAGGUCAAAAAUAACAAUUAACUGGAGUGAAAAUAAAUUGAAAUAAAAACCACAAUUAACUCUAGUGGCAAUGAAUUGAAACAAAAAUUAGGGUUAAUAUUUUCUCAUUUUAUUUAAAAUUUAAAAUUGUGACGUUGAUAUUUUAAUUUUAUCGAUUCUUUGGUAUAAAAUAGAGGGUGGAUGGAAAUAUUUUAUUUGAGAAAAUGUUAUCUUGAUUUGGUGCAGAUAUUAAAUACGAAAUUAUGUUUAUAGUCUUUUAAUUUCAAGCUACUUUCACAUGACUCUUUCCAUAGUCUGCUAAGCGGGCAAUAAUAUAAAAAACAGAAACCACUCUUUUAAAUGAAUUGUGGACAUGGUUGACCAAGACCAUAUCAAGUCAAUAUACUGCUCUCCACUACUACUUUUAUUUUCAUCAAUCAUGCAUAAUUGUCUUCCACACCUUUCUCUUUAUUUUAUUUUUAUUUUUUUGUUUUCCAAUUUAGUGUGAAUGCUUAGAAAUUACAGUAGCUGGGAACAAAGACCAUGAAAUUAGUAAAUUAAUAUAUUUGUUCCAUAUUUUCUGAAAUAACUUAAAAUUUUAUUUGUCUCACAGUGAAAGGAGAAAUUACAUCAUAGCACACUUGUUCACACUAGGCCAUCCCCUUUAGGACGGCUACUGCCAUUUCCUCUUAAUUCAGUGUAUAUAUAGGACAUAUAUUAAUUGCCAAAUGAAUCAACAAACUCACUACACUUACUGACAUUGACAUUCAAGAAAUCUGAUACAAUCAAACUAAAAUAGAGUAAAUAAAACUUAAAAAAGACAAAAGGUAAUUUAACAAACAGACUAAACAAAAAAAACAUUGAUUUUAGAACAUGUGAAUCUUAUUCACACUUUAUCUUGCAGUUCGCCAAAACCUUUAACAGUUGAAUUUGCAUCUUUGAUGAGCUCUUAUCUUUGAUUAAAUUUGCGUCUUGAUGAGCUCGCACCUUUGAAUUAGCUCAUAACUGUGGAUGAACUCACAGAUUUGAAUGAGUUAGUAGGUACGCGAUCUGGUUUCAUCAUUUAAUGAAUGAUCACUCUGCAACAUUUAUAAUGGUGAAUAUAAAAUCAAAUUAAAAUAGAGAAAGUAUAUCAUGUACGUUAACGCGUAAUUAAAAGAGUAAAAUAAAACAUAAAAGACAAAAUGAUAUUCUGUAAUUGAAAUAAUAUAAUAAAAGAACAGCUGGAAGGAAAGGUCUUUUCUGAAUAAGUAAAAUAAGUUUUUUUAAAGACUCGGGAAAGACUUGAUAACAGUCCACAUGAAAUUAGAGAAUAUAAAUAGAGGCCAAUGAAUCAACUUUGGCAUAGCAUCUCUAAAGCCUACAUCCCUCAACUUAUAGCAAAUUUCCAAUUCCGUUUUCCUUAAAACACUGCCCCCUUUCAUAGCUUCUUCCUUAUUAGGUUCUAAAAAUGGGAAAGUUUAUAUGGUUGUGUCAAAUCCGUAGUCUCCUCUUUGUGCUGUUCUUUCUUUCCGUAGUUGAUUGUUCUCUGAGUUUGUCAUCCUCUUCUCUUAAUCCAACUCCUCCAUGUCUACCAGAAGACACUUCAGCCUUGCUCCAAUUCAAGAACACUAUGUCCAUUGAUGAUUCUGCUAUUUUUUCCUACUGUUAUCCCAAAACAAACUCCUGGAAUGAAAGCACCAACUGUUGCUCAUGGGAGGGAGUCAUUUGUGAUAAGGCAACCGGUCAGGUGAUUAGCCUAGACCUUAGUUGCUCUAAGCUUGUUGGCUCCCUUUCUCCAAACACCACCCUUUUCCGCCUUCGAGGACUUAAACGACUUGACCUCUCUUUGAACAAUUUCGAUGCUUCUUCGAUUCCGUCUGGGUUUAAUCAGUUAGUAAGUCUAACACAUCUUAAUCUUUCUGGUUCUUUACUCAGUGGUUCAGUCCCAUCAGAUAUAUCUUUGCCAUCAAAAUUGAUUUCACUUGAUCUUUCUGGAAAUGAUCAAUUGAAAUUUGACAGUCACGGUUUUGACAUGCUUACGCGCAACUUAUCUAAAUUAGAAAAUCUUUUACUUGGCUGGGUAAAUAUGUCUGAUGUUGUGCCUACAGCCUUCACUAACUUGCCUUCGUCUUUAAAGCGUUUGAGUCUCGAGAUUUGUGAUUUACAGGGGGAUAUCCCUAGUGAAAUAUUCCUGCUUGGGUACCUAGAGUAUGUUGAUCUACGUGGGAACUCUUUAACAGGUUAUCUCCCAAAGUCCAAUUGGAGUAGUCCCCUCAAAUUCCUCGACCUUUCCAGUAAUUAUUUCGGAGGGUCAAUUCCUUCUUCACUUGAAAACCUCACAAAAAUCACUUAUCUCGGUUUUUCUUAUAACAAAUUAGAGGGACAAAUUCCAGAUGUCUUUGGAAACCUUAACAAACUUACUACUUUGGAUUUCUCUGAUUGUAAUUUUAGUGGUCAACUUCCCCCAUCAAUGUUCAACCUCACACAACUUACUUAUUUAGACUUAUCACUCAAUAGGCUAGAAGGUCCCCUUCCAACUCAUGUAACAGGAUUUCAGAAUUUGAAGGACUUCAGUUUAAUUGAUAACUUACUAACAGGAGGAGUUCCAUCUUGGCUUUUUACUUUGCCAUCUUUAGAAUCCUUAGACCUCAGUUAUAACAAUCUCACAGGUCCAAUCAAUCAAAUUCAAAGGCCUAAUUCAAUUCAAAGGGUUUAUUUAGCGGAUAAUGACAUCCAUGGUGAAAUACCAACUUCUUUCUUUGGUCUUUCAAAGCUUACCCACCUUGAUCUUUCAUCAAACAACUUGAGUGGAGUCAUUAGAUCGGAUAUGCUUUCAAAGCUAGAGAGUCUUGAAACGCUCGAUCUUUCGACAAAUAAUUUUAGUGGUGUUAUCAACUUAGAUGUUCCAUCAAAAUUGAAGAAUCUCACUGAAGUUAAUCUUUCCAAUAACAAGUUAAGGCAAUUCCCGAGUUUCUUGCGAUCUGCGAAAAGCUUGAGAAGUCUUGAUCUUUCCAAAAACAAUAUUCAGGGUUCAAUUUUCAAUUGGGAAUCGGAAGGUUGGGAACAAUUGAUUGAUUUGAAUCUUUACAACAAUUCGUUGACGAGUUUAGAGCAACUUCCAGGGAAGAAUAUUCUUACCCUAGAUCUUCGUUCCAACCGACUCCAAGGUCCUCUUCCAGCUACGCCACCUUCAUUGCAGGAAUUCCUGAUUUCAGAUAACAAAUUGACAGGAGAAAUACCUCCUUCAAUUUGUAAUUUGACUUCACUUGAUAUUCUUGAUUUGUCUAAGAAUUACUUUGGUGGAAUUAUUCCAUCAUGUCUUGGAAAUUUUAGUCGGGGGAUCAGUGUCAUAAACCUACAAAAGAAUAACUUGAGUGGCAAAAUCCCUGAUUUUUGUGUUGAAUUAAAUAGUUUGACAACUCUUGCUCUUAAUGACAACAAAUUUGAAGGGUUAUUGCCACGGUCCUUUGUUAAUUGUACCGUGCUACGUUUUUUGAACCUAGCAAACAACACCUUGUACGAUCUCUUUCCCCGUUGGCUCAGUGUACUUCCAGUCCUGCAAGUUCUUAUCUUACGCUCUAAUAGAUUUUAUGGUCGCCUAGACCAUCCCAUGGCUACAUCUAGCUUUAUAAGCUUGCAAAUCCUUGAUCUCUCUAAAAAUGAGUUCACUGGCCCCUUUCCGAAAAUAUUCUUCCAAAGUUUUAGACGUUUGAAAUUAGUUGCAGCUUCACAACCACAACAAAUGAGUAAAUGUGGUAGAGUUGGUGUAUAAUGUAUCUUGUCUUCGUAGUCCUCGAGGUCCCGAAAACUAUAAAAACUAUGUGAAACUAACCAUGAAAAGGUUGGAGAUAGAGCUAGAUCUGGACAAAUCAUUAACUAAUUUCACACUCAUAGAUUUUUCAAACAAUCGAUUCAGUGGACGAAUCCCUGAGGCACUCGGCGAACUUCAUGCUCUUUUAGUGCUCAACCUCUCACACAACAGAUUAAACGAUACCCUACCACCGUCAUUGGCAAAUAUGGCAGCACUUGAAUCAUUAGAUCUGUCAUCUAACAAGCUUGGUGGUAGAAUUCCUUCCGAGGUAACGAAACUGACAUUUCUGGAAGUGCUAAACUUGUCGCAAAACAAUUUUUUCGGACCAAUUCCGGUUGGACAUCAAUUCAAUACUUUCGAUAUUGAUUCCUAUGCUGGAAACUUGGGUUUAUGCGGCUUCCCACUAUCAAAGAAAUGUGGUAGUGAGGAGGAACGAAAGCCACCAACACCAAAGCUUGUGGAAGAUGAAGACUCUGCAAUACCCUUUAUUUGGGAACUUGUAAUGAUGGGGUAUGGGUGCGGAGUAGUGUUGGGAUUGAGUACGGGAUACAUAGUAUUCACAACUGGAAGACCGUGGUGGUUGGUUAGAAUGGUUGAGAGAGACUGGCAGAGGAAUUUUACAAGAUGGGCCCGCAGGAUUGGAAGAAAAAGGAACUAGCACUUCAUCCAAAUUGCAUAGGUGAGAUUCAAAUAUGUUUUGCUAAAACUUGGACCAAAAAUUGUAUUUACUUUUUAAUUGAUAAUGCAUAUAUAGUAAUUUAGACUUAAUUUUUCCAUUCUAUUUGCCAUAGUUGGACCUGAGGUGAAUUGGAGGGAAAAUGAAGAACUGCUUCUGUAAGAUUUGGGUCGAAGCCUCUGUUCUUACCUUUUGGGUUCAUUUUCAAGGCAGUGGUUUAAAGAUAUGAUUAAGGUGUUGUUUGAGAAUAGCUUGCUCUUUCUUGGCUUGUUGUUCAACUUUGGCUCUUGAGUUGGCCUUUGAUGACAAAUUGGAAGACAUACAGAUCCACCUGCAC